AAAAAAAAGAUGUUUAAUGGCCCCGUGGCUGAGUGGUUAAGUUCUCACGCUCCCCUUCGGCGGCCCAGGGUUUCGCUGGUUCGGAUCCUGGGAGUGGACAUGGUACCGCUCAUCAGGCCAUGCUGAGGCAGCAUCCCACAUGCCACAACUAGAAGGACCUACAACUAAAAAAAAAUAUACAAUGCAGGGCCUGCCUGGUGGCGCAGCAGGAAAAAAACACAGCCUACCAGUCAGUGAGCAACACCUUUAGAUUUCUCAUUUCCGCACCAACAUGCUGUGUCUUAGAUUUCCUCAGCUUUUAAAGGAAAAGCUUUGUGGUGAAGUCCUAGGACCGGAAGUAUGCUAGGCAGGCUGCUGGGAAAGCAGAGGACUGGAGCGGCGAGCAUGUCCUAUUUUCUUGUGAUUCCUGGUCUCCACCCGACACAUCUGUGCGCUUUCUACAAUGCUUUUAUCUAAUAAGAUCAAGCCGGCUGCAGACUCCAGUAGCAGGUUGUGUCCGGUUGUGUCAUACCACCACUGUGCUGGAGGUCCUGGCUCAGAAACACUUGGAUGAAUCCCUCAGGUUGCGUCUCUUCUGAGUGCCCUUUCUUGAAGUGGACUUAGGCUGGUUG
rnacentral:lncRNA from 1 species